rnacentral:lncRNA from 1 species
CCUUAUUGUAAACAGUUAUUUGGCAAACACAUCAUAUCAUUUACUGUCACAGUUCCUGUGGAAUAACGAUAACAAGAAAAAUUCAAAAUUUAGAACAUGACCUUGACCUUUGACCUUGACCUCAAUUUCCUUAAAAUGGACCAAGGACCUCAUAUCAAAAGACUGUAGGCCUCUUCGACUUAUACCGUAUAAAUUUAGCCAACAAAUCGCCUAUCUUAAAUUUGCAAAGGGAAAUAACUCCCAUAAGAUGACUUCCGACCACUCAAGUCAAAAUGAACCAAAUCAUUCGCAAGAGUAGACGAACAAUUUGGUGAAAACAGUUUGCUAAAAUCUUUUACGGUUUUAGAGAUAUAGCGAUAACAAGAAAAAGGGGACGCGAGGAGAUAACUCCUAUAAGAAUAAGUGUUCGGUCACACAGGGUGAGUUUUGAAACCCCCAUUACUGUACAACAUCAUUGGCCAAAAAAUCGAUUCGAUAUGUUGUAAGACAAAAAAGCAUCUCAGACGGCAGAAGAAAAAAAAAAUAAAAUUAAAAACCAAUUGUUCAGAGAACCAUUGAUGGUCUUUCCACCAGUUAAGACCUUUUUUUAUAUGAAAAUAUUAAAAUUUGGUUUUAAAUGUCCAUCUUCGCGUCAAAUGACAGCUUAUUGAACGCUUAUUCCAAAAAUAUAUGGUUUCUAUACAAAAAGAUAUAAAUAAGGGAGAUCAUUUUUUACUUCCGGUUUAAAAUAUGUUACUUCCGG